ACACAGCCCAUCAACGUGUCGUCACGUCAAGGUUUCUUGGGAAGAAAGUUUUAACGGCGUCGUCGUCUGUUAACAUCUGAAAACCUCUCCACGAAGAUUCAAGUGAUAGCAGUGAAUCUUGUGUUUUUGUUUCAUCUUAAUUUUAUUCUUGUAUUUUGUUUCAGUGACAAAUUGCAACUGUCCCGUGACAGUUUGAAUAUUUUUUUCCGUUGAGGUUUACUCCACAAGCGAUGUCAGAAAUUUAAAUGCGAAGAAUUAUUUAGGUUUAGGCCUUACAGUAACAGAAUAGAGCUGUCACCCACACUGAAUAUAAGCAAGAAAACAAUUUUCAUUAAAUAACGUUUUAAGUGGAACAGUCAGCUACAAUGGAGGAGAAAAAUAUAUUUCCUUAUUACGGUAUUAAUUUCGUAAAAAAAGGAAACACGAUGGCUAAGGUCAUGAAGGUCCAAUGGUACCAACCGGCUGCUGUGUCAUCCUCAGCCCGUAGGGGUCACCAGAUGCUGAUAUGGAGGGGCAUGUGGUCAUCACACUGUUCUCCUGGCCAUAUGUCAGUUUCUGAAACCAGAGUUGCUACUUCUCAAUCAAGUAGCUCCUCAGUUUGCCUCACAAGGGCUGAGUGCACCCCACUUGCCAACAGAACUCGGCAGAACAGAUGGUCCCCCAUCCAGCUCCAAUUCUUGGUAUACCUGACAGCUGCAAAAGACCUGGGACUCUUUGCAGCUACUUGUAAUGAUGUCACGGGCAGCCCAACUGCUCUUGGUGCUACAUGUAGCUUGAAAGGAAUACCUUGGACAAGAAUAUAACAACAACUGCAGACAGCAAAAAUGAAACAGUUCACAAAAUGGUCUAGAUAAUUAUCUUCUUAACAAAGAAUACUCUAAUUCUCAAAUCAUUCUUCUUGUUCAUUUAUUUGAAGGUACUAAACAUGGAUAUAAAAUCAACAUAUGUGAGGGAUAUUUUGUACCCAUUCAAAACAACAGUACAAAAGAAAUAUAUUUGGUAUUCUUGAAGAUAUUUGGUACUGUCCAUCAUGAUACCUUUCUGGACAUGUCACAAGCUAUUGAUAUAUGAGGAGUUGUGAAAAAAUGAUUUCAGUCUGAUCUUCAUAGUAGACAUUAAAAAUGUAUUGCUUACAGAUCUGAUUUUCAGACUGUACCUGUUGAGCUACCACAGUGAAGUAUUCUUUGCUCAUAUUUCUAAUUUAUGUAAAUGACAUCAAGAUUACAAUCAGUGGUACUCAUAUAAACCUGUUGCUGAUGAUAAAUAUGUUGUUAUAAUUGAUAUAAACCAGGUAUUACAACAUCUGUAACUAGAGUUCAGAAUAUGUACAAAAUUGCUUUGAAUUGAACAAGUUAACCUUAAAUAUUGUAAAAGCUCUUUAUAUCCACUAUAAGAAAACAAAGUCACAAAAUGAUCUGGACCUUAGAAUACAAAAUAAAGAAUUUACGAGAGCACCUGCCUCAAAAUUUUUUGGUGGCCGUACAGAUGAAAAUUUAGACUGGAAAGUCCACAUCCACUACCUUGAUAAUAAGUUAGGUUCUGCUCACUGUGUGCUGUGUGUAACUAGUAAUGUGACUAGUAAACAGUGUAGCAGAAUUUUCUACUCCUCUUACACUCACACUGCUAUUACCUAUUGCCUCAUUUUCUGGGGUCAUAAGAAGAGAAAUUCAAAAACCAUCUUCACACUAGAGAAAUGUGGUGUUAGAAUAAUUACCAACAAUUCAAAGCUAUCACCUUACAACCACUUGUUUCACAACUAAGUAUUCUACAUUUACCAAGCCUCUACAAAAAAGUGUAAUUAACAUUAAAAGGUGCACUGGCAAUUACAAAAUGAGCUUAGAUCUGCAUUAAUAUAACACAAGAAUCUGCCACAUCAUCCAUAUAGAAAGAGGAAACAAGGCUGUAGCACAAAACAAGUGUUCAGAGUGCUAAAGUGUAUAACAAAUUUCUGGCACGGAUAAUGGAAAAAAUAUAUCUGAUUCACAAACAGAUUCUUUACUGGUCAUUCAGCAUUAUUACAUGCAAUAGACUUUGUCAGUUCACUUAACCUAUUAAUUUUACAAAAUAAAUUUUUACAUUUUUAAGCUGAUAUUGGGCAUUUCUAAAAAUUCUUAUGGAUAGAAUGUAUUAGUUAACUAGAAGUUAUGUACAUUUUCUUUAAAAAAAUUGUCAGACUUGAUUGAUGCAUUCUUAGACAACUGGUUAUAUAUUUUAAUUGCCAUAUACUUGUGACUGUUAGUUUUAGCUAAUCUAAUCUAUUUUGUGACAACAGCAGAAAAGCCUUUGAUUUGUUACACUUAAAUUAGGUAGUUCAGCAAGUACCUACAUUUAAGCAAGCAAUGUCCAAAAUUUUAAUGACCAACAGUUAUUACAGUGAAAACAAAUACCUAUAAUAACCUAGUAGCAACUAAUUUUAUCAGUGUACUACAUGCCACAUUCAAUGUCAAUAGUAAUUUCAGUCAAAUGUUUUCUGUACUCUGAAUUAGUAUUUUGAACAGAAGUGUUACAGUGAUCAUGUGUUUUUACGUAAUUUAUGAAUUAAGUAUUCCAUGUAAAAUAUCUUGUUCAUUCAUAAACAAUGUGCAGUUCUGAAUGUGAGAUUGUGUAGGGUACUAUGCACUGCUGUAUUUGCAGGGUACUGGACAUCUGUGUGUGUGUGUGUGUGUGUGUGUGUGUGUGUGCGAGUGCGUGAGUGUGUGCGAUGUUGCAAAUGUAUAGACUCAGAAGCUUCACCUGUCACUAGUUGUAAUUAAGUUGUAAAAUGUGUUUAUGAUUUUAUUCAACAUUAAGCUACAUUAACAUGCUACUCAGUACCAUGGAGUACUUGAGAAGCUAUGUGUGUAACUGUGAAAAACCUAAAAUAAUUUCACACUUUCUUGUGCCACUGUUUUCAUUUUAUGUGUAGCCUCUUGUUUGAUUGUGUCUAAUACUGUAAAAUAAAUGGUCUUGUGGAAACAAAUGCCAUUGGCUAAGUCAAUAGAGGAAAUAUGUGACAACUUGAACCAAAUGAUGCACAUGGCUCAGCCAUGGGCAUGUUAUCAAAUCUCUGAGCCAAUCAGGGAGCAAAGUGUUUACUGCACAUAGACACUUUUGGGUGAGUGGAAGUGGCAAGUGGUGGGCAGGGGUGUGUCUGACUGCAGUCA